rnacentral:rRNA from 1 species
GACGAACGCUGGCGGCGUGCUUAACACAUGCAAGUCGAACGGAAAGGCCCUGCUUGCAGGGUACUCGAGUGGCGAACGGGUGAGUAACACGUGGGUGAUCUGCCCUGCACUUCGGGAUAAGCUUGGGAAACUGGGUCUAAUACCGGAUAGGAACCAUCUUGAGUGUGGUGGUUGGAAAGUUUUUUCGGUGUAGGAUGAGCUCGCGGCCUAUCAGCUUGUUGGUGGGGUAAUGGCCUACCAAGGCGGCGACGGGUAGCCGGCCUGAGAGGGUGUACGGCCACAUUGGGACUGAGAUACGGCCCAGACUCCUACGGGAGGCAGCAGUGGGGAAUCUUGCACAAUGGGCGCCAGCCUGAUGCAGCGACGCCGCGUGGGGGAUGAAGGCCUUCGGGUUGUAAACUCCUUUCGCUAGGGACGAAGCUUUUUGUGACGGUACCUAGAUAAGAAGCACCGGCUAACUACGUG